AUUGAACGCUGGCGGCGUGCCUAACACAUGCAAGUCGAGCGGUAACAGGUGUAGCAAUACAUGCUGACGAGCGGCGAACGGGUGAGUAAUGCUUCGGAAUCUACCCAAUGGUGGGGAAUAACCAGCCGAAAGGUUGGCUAAUACCGCAUACGUCCCACGGGAGAAAGCAGGGGAUCGCAAGACCUUGCGCCAAUGGAUGAGCCGAAGUCGGAUUAGCUAGUUGGAGGGUAACGGCCUACCAAGGCGACGAUCCGUAGCUGGUCUGAGAGGACGACCAGCCACACUGGGACUGAGACACGGCCCAGACUCCUACGGGAGGCAGCAGUGGGGAAUAUUGGACAAUGGGGGAAACCCGUGAUCCAGCGACGCCGCGUGUGUGAAGAAGGCCUGCGGGUUGUAAAGCAC
rnacentral:rRNA from 1 species